rnacentral:lncRNA from 1 species
UCAAGAACACCUAAAAAACACCCCAAUUAUUAAAAACAAAAAAUAUAUGUUUUUUAAGUUUUUUUUUCUAACAACCCACAAGGUCUCCAAUUUUUAAGAUUUAAAAACAGUUUUCAAGUUGCAUACCAAACAAGUUUUUGAAUCUUAAAAAUAUAUUUAAGAACUCCUCAUUUUUAAGAAAAAUAAAAUUUUUGAGUUUCCUAUUUGAAUAAGAUACCAAACGUCUCCUAAAUUUGUUCUAAUAUUAUUGUUGGUAAGGGGUUUUUAUUUUAUUUUAUUUUUUUUGGGUGGGGUUAUCAGUUUUGAUUGGCCAUCAAGAUAACCUUUAGACCAGCCCACGUGAAGCCUGAUAUAGCUGGGCUUUUAAUUAGGGCAUUUUAGGGAUAAUUCUAGAAUUCUAGGCCAGAUUGAUGCUAGCCCAAUAUAUGACGUAAAAUGCUCAUAUAUGUGCUUAAACUUUUGCGGAAGUGCUGUAAUGAGGCCAAAACUUUUACCAAAACUGAUACUCGGGCCUGGGCCUGUUCUAAUUUUUGAGUUUUAAUUUGAUUUUCUUCUUGCUAGCCUGCUCUGGAUCUUUAGUUUUUCAUUUUUAUAUACAAACGAUAUUUACAGAGAGGGGAAUUCAAACUCGGAUACAGAAUGGGGAGUAUAUCCGCUCUAACCAACUUGACUAAGCCCCUAAGGGCUCGUUUGGUACGAAGGACUGUCUUGGCAUGGACUAUAAUUAGGGACUGUCUUGGAUUGGCUUGGCCUGGUCUAAACUGGAUAACAAUUGUCCUUCGUUUGAUGUAUGUUUAGACUAGGACUAGAUUUUUUUUUAAUUUUUUAUAAAAACAUAUUAAAGUGAAUUUAAUUUAAUUUUUUUGACUUUUCUUCUCUCUCUGCAUCUUCUUUUCUUCUUCCUCCCGCGAAUUGCUUCUUCUUCUCCAUCCUCUCUCAUUUGCCUCUUCUUCUCAAUAUAUGUUUCUCUUUGUUUUUUUUUUUCCAAAAUUUUUUCUCUAUUCCUUUUUUUUUUCCCACAAAUUUUCUCUUUGCUGCUUCUCAAUAUACUCUGUCUUCUACUUCUCCCUCUGCUUGCACAGUCAUCAUUGUCUCACAGUCAACAUCGUUGCACAGUCGCCGUGUCCACAGCCCAUAGUUCAAGCUGCGAAGUCAUUAUCUCUAAUCGGUGCUCGCCGAAAUUGACUGGAACUGACUGCGAUGUUGUAUUGGGGGUCACUGCGUGUGGCUGUGACGGUGGGGGUUUGGAUCAGUUGCAGGUGCUUGGGUGGUCGGUGGUUGUGGAAGGCGCUUGGGUGGUCGAUCGUAGCGGCAAGGGCUUGGUUGUUGCAAGCGCUUGGGUUAGGACUAACUUGUCCCCCCCCCCCCCCCCCCUCCACUCGGGUCUCGCUAAGAACACCUAAGGAGGUGUUUUUGGUGGGGCCAGUAUUAACAGUCCCACUUAAAAUUAGUAGCAAGUCAAAACAAACAUGGGAUAAAAAUUUGUCUAGUCCAAUCCAAGCUUAGAAGGUGUAACAAACGAGCCCUAAAUCUUUUGUUUAUAAAAGCAUAUGUAGAUGGACUAAAAUGUGCUUCGUAUUCUCUAGUAGAAUGGAAUUGGUUUCAUCUUCAUUUUCUUUUGUAAUAGAAUUGAGGUGAAUUACAUUUUAAUUCUUUGCACAUUGUUUUGUGAAGAUGAUGUACCUGAAAUUUUUCUUGACCCCCAUGGAAACCAGAAGAUUUAGCCUCUUAUGGAAUCUCAAAAUCUUCCUAUACAUGCAGUCAAAUCCAUUCUGGCCCUGUGCAUGAAUUAUCAAUUUUCUUUUGAAGAAAAUAGAAUGAUCUACUUUUUCCUUAUUUUUCCAAGUUGUGUUUGUUAUACUGGUUCUCUCUCUCUCUCUCUCUCUCUCUCUCUCUCUCUCUCUCAUGUUGGUUUUAAUUAGUGGAUGCAAAAUCAGAAUAAGCUUUCAAAUAUGUCUAUUUUUCUUUCCCAUCUAAGGGUACCCCACCGCCCCCCACCUGUUUAGGCUGAAUUCACUUGGAUACCCUUGUUGUGAUGCUAACUGAUCAAGUCUUUUUUUUUUCUUUUUUUCUUUUUGUGACAUUGGAUGAAAGGGUCCCAUCAGAUUAAUGAUAUGAUUAAAAAGUUUGUGUAUCCAGAACCAGAAGUGAACAAUUGAGAGAGAGAGAGAGAGAGAGAGAGAGAAUGAGCAAUAAAUUAAUAUUUCAUGGGUUGGAGAAUAGAAGAAGCACCAUAAGUUAACAUAUUUGAAGCAUUAAACUAAACAACAUGAUGGUUGAAGAAUCCCCAUCACAAAGAAAGAAGGGAAGAGAGGAAGGGAAGUUGAAGCAGGGCACAUGGAAACAGGAGGCCAUGUGGGGAAGAUUCAGAGCCACUUUCUUUAAUUUAUUUUUUAAGUGAGCAACAAAGGAAUAACAUGGAUCCACCCUACUCCCAAGGGGGGGUACCCUCUAAACUUCUAAUAAAGGCAUGUGAUUGUAAGAGGAGCUUUGUUGUAGGCCACCCCAAUGCUGUACAUCUGUAGGCUCCAAUUCCUUGGCCCCACAAAACUCACACCCAUUGCCUAUCUAUCCCCCCGGCCCUUCUCCUAAAAAAAAUAAAAAUUUGUAGCUUAAGUGGUUAAAAGUAUUUAC